CUACGGGGGGCAGCAGUGGGGAAUAUUGCACAAUGGAGGGAACUCUGAUGCAGCGAUGCCGCGUGAGGGAAGAAGGUUUUCGGAUUGUAAACCUCUGUCUUCAGGGACGAUAAUGACGGUACCUGAGGAGGAAGCUCCGGCUAACUACGUGCCAGCAGCCGCGGUAAUACGUAGGGAGCGAGCGUUGUCCGGAAUUACUGGGUGUAAAGGGAGCGUAGGCGGGACUGCAAGUCAGAUGUGAAAACUAUGGGCUUAACCCAUAGACUGCAUUUGAAACUGUGGUUCUUGAGUGAAGUAGAGGUUGGCGGAAUUCCUAGUGUAGCGGUGACAGGCGUAGAUAUUAGGAGGAACAUCAGUGGCGAAGGCGGCCAACUGGGCUUUUACUGACGCUGAGGCUCGAAAGCGUGGGGAGCAAACAGGAUUAGAUACCCCCGUAGUC
rnacentral:rRNA from 1 species